rnacentral:rRNA from 1 species
CAGCCGCCGCGGGAAUACGUAUGUCACGAGCGUUAUCCGGAUUUAUUGGGCGUAAAGCGCGUCUAGGUGGUUAUAUAAGUCUGAUGUGAAAAUGCAGGGCUCAACUCUGUAUUGCGUUGGAAACUGUAUAACUAGAGUACUGGAGAGGUAAGCGGAACUACAAGUGUAGAGGUGAAAUUCGUAGAUAUUUGUAGGAAUGCCGAUGGGGAAGCCAGCUUACUGGACAAAUACUGACGCUGAAGCGCGAAAGCGUGGGUAGCAAACAGGAUUAGAUACCCCUGUAGUCCCUGUCUCUUAUACA